CUAUUAUUGACAAUCUCUAUUCGGUGUCUGCUUACAGUGAAUGUGCACUACCGCAGGCUCCGCACUCGGCCUGUCUGUAACUUUGCACUGCUCGGUGUGAUCGGUCGUCUCGCGUCUUAAUGGCUUCGUGCAAGUGACUCAAGCGAAUUGGAUGACAAAAGCCUGCGAGGGGGAAGAGGCGGGGUCUGAGAUGGCCUAAAUUGGAUCUUCGUGGUUUAUGAAUAGCCCCAAAAUAGAACAUAAGCGUGUCAGCCCAGGGGUGUCUCUACAGGGGCAUUGGCUUCCGGAGGAUGAUUUCCAGGGUGGGUGAGAGCUUACAAGAGAAAAAAAUGGGUUUCAAUUGUGAUAUCUAUUAAAAAAAAAAAGGUUUUAAUUUGCUUUAACCCAUGUUAUUGUUACUUUAUUUGAUCAUUACAGGUUGACAUCGUAGGAAUGGGAGUCUUUAUCAUUCCAUGACUUGUAGGAAAAAGAAAAAUUACAUCCAUUUUGUAACUAUUUUUCCUUACGAUGCAUAAAAAUAACUUAAAAUCAUUUCAAAUAU